UGGGCAGUGCAUAGGGUGAAGUAAGUCAGGAAAAAACGUCUUGGAGGUGGAACAUUGCUCUCUGAAAAGAAAUGAACGUGACAGUAGACAAGGCUAUGGAAGCUUCAGAUCCUGGGAGGGGCUAGUCUUGGAGGUAGCAGAGCCCUGCUCACUGGAAGGGGUGUGCCUGGCUACACAGGCCCCUUUUGGCUCACAGCAGCGCAUCUGUGGAAACCCAGGUUACCACUGUCUGUGCCUCAUCAAAGUCUGCCUGCUGCUUGGCGACAUCACGCUCCAGACCUGUCUCUAGGAGCCGUGUGACUGAAGGUCAAGGGUGUCUCCAGGGAGCUCUCACCUGCCUGGUUCGCCCCUGCCCUGCCCUCUGAUUGGUUAUCCACACACCCACAAAGUUGUUUCACUCUCUGCUCUAAAACAGUACAGGAUUUCUGGUGGCAAGGGAUGCAGCCUUCAUUACCACCCCCCAACCCGCACCCCAACACAAAGCAGAGGAUACAAAACAAAUGGAGGCUUCAUAUGUUCUGGCAGCAAGUCCUCGCCCAGAAAUCUGGAGAUGCAAAUAAAGGCCCCCUCGAACAAAACUCGCUAAACGUGCUGAGUGGCCACGAGCCCAUCCAAGAUAAAACUAAACUAGAAAACAUCUAAAGGCAUGGAAGAGGAGAAGGAAGCCAGGCUCUCAGCCCUGGCUGUGGAGGAGCUCCGCUCCGAAGGGCGAGGUCUGUCCACCAGGGAACAGGGGAGCCUGGUCUCUGGAGCGUGGAAACCACACCUGCCACCUUCCCCCGCGCACCAUGGUGGAUGCUACAGACAACAAAAGACUAGCUUUAUUAUUAUCUCCUGGGAAAACCCCGAUUACUUCGCUCUAUGACAUCCCCACUGAGAACUGCCACCAGCUCUACAGGUGAUCAGUUCUCACAUUAGGACUCAAAUGGAAGAAGGCUUUCCCCAAAAGUUGUCAAAAUUUAAUAUUCAAACUCGUAUAGCUAUCUGCAUCCGAUUCAUCUCACAAAGAAUCUUCUCCACAACCCAGGGUCUCUACAAGAAGCCAACAACUUGCAUGUGCUUAGAAAUCUCUGAGCAACCAGGGGUUCGUGUGUGCAUCCCUGGACACCGGGACUGCCUUCGUGAUGCUGUAAAUGGGCCCCGUCGUCCCAACUGCUAAGGUGCUUGGGAGCAGCCUGCGGAGAGGGAAGCACUGAGAGUGAGCCUGGAGGGAGCCUGGGGUCACUGUCACAGAGUUUGUACUUGAAACCUCCCCUGGGGGGUGCCAAGUCAGUAAUCCGGAAACCCUGGCACAAUCAGGAAAGGAGGGUGAAGGGAGGGGCGGUGGGAGCCACUGAGGACAGAGCCGGGUGGGGGGUCCACCUGGCUUCUUGCCUCCCUGAGCAGUUUUUGACUGAAUACUGUCUUUCUAGAUUUUGAUUUCCUCAUCCUUCAAAUGCAAAAGACCUGAAUUAGAUAUCCCAGCUGUAGCAUUCUCUGACUGGGGGAAUUUUAAAGAACAGGAUGUGCGCGCAUCCCUUAUGGAAUUUCUUAUUCGACAGAAUUCAUCCUAGAAACCCUGUUCCUGCACUGGUAAUGGAUGUUGAGAACAUGAGGGGAAAAGGAAACUUAUUUUGUUGAUUUUGAGUUUAUACUUUAUAAAUGAUAUUAAAUUAAUAUAACCUAGAUAAUAUAUUAAUUAUAUGUAAUACAUGAAUAAUAUGUAUUGUACUCUAUAAGUCUAAUUAUCCUAUAUAUGUAUAUACUUGUAUAUGAAUAGGAUAUGCCUAUACAGUACCUGUAUAGACAUAGUGUACAUACACUAUAUGUGUC
rnacentral:lncRNA from 1 species